GUAUACUCUAAGCAUAUAUCAAUCAAGAAGAAUAUAAGCCUCAAAUGGAGUUUUUCAAGUUUUUGAUUGUUUUCUUUCUCUUAAUUGUUCCAUUUUCAAUUGCAUCAAAUCCUCUUGGUGCAUCUACAAAUGAUGGAGGUAGGGAAUUUUGCUUUAAGAAAUGCACAGAUGAGUUUACACAGGAAGAUUGCAUGUUUGACUGCAAAGGUCGAGGAUUUAAAUAUGGAUCAUGUGCUAUAAGUUCUCGUUGUUGUUGUACCGAAUAAAGUCUCAUAUGAAGCUAAUGCAUGCGUUAAAUCUGCAUAUUUAAAAAAAAUAUGUAUUUGAUUAAUGGUUGAAAAAAUUUUCUGAUCGCCUUUGAUUGAAA